CCCAGCAGCUGCAUGUGGAGGAGCGGAGACGCGAACCCGGUUCCCCAGAUUGUGAGUCUACUGGUCUUAACCACUACACCACACUGGCUCUCAUGAGAUAGGAUUGCAUUCAUAUAGCAAGUAUAGCCCACUUCUGGGUAACCUAGAUAGAUUGUUGAAUUGCAUCCAGGAUGGUGGUAACAACUGGUAUUCUGACAAAGAUUUUUUUUUUAAAAAAAAUGGGCCACUGGGCAGCUGCACAGUAAGUGGAUAUGAACUUUUAAAGCUUGGCUGCAUCUUCAUCAGUGAUUGUAACUAAUGAAGCCUCUGGGGACUCAAAUUCUUGGAGAGCCAGGUUGCAUGUGUUCCCAGUGGCGUAGCGUGGGGGGUGAAGGGGGGGCCGGCCGCACCGGGCGCAACAUCUGGGGGUUAGGGUUAGGGGGCGCAAAUCCACGGGUUAGGGGGCGCAAAUCCACGGGUUAGGGGGCGCAAAUUACUUGCCUUGCCCUGGGUGCUGACAACCCACGCUACACCACUGUGUGUUCCUAUUGGAUGAGUCUUAACUUUAGGUUUCAAAUCCAUUAACUGCUAUUGAGUGAGGACAAGAGUGUCUGUCCUCACAACCUGUUCGAUCCUUGGUUCUCCUGCAUCGCCCAGGUAUUUGUCUAAGUGUACCUCACCCUUCGGCCAAAGUAGGAGGACAAAAAGGCAAGGAAGGCUGAACACCUCAACCUUCAAUUAAUUGACUUGAAAAUUGUAUCUAAAAGUCAAGAACCAGUGUAGCGAGCACAGUGUUGGGCACAGAUUGGGGUAAUCUGGAUUCAAAUUCUCACCCAGUUAAUCUUGAAAAUGAUCAUUCACCCUUUCUCAGGCUUGCCUAUCUUACAAGGUCUGUUGGGAGAAUAAAGUAGGAUGACUUCAUGAGCAUUGCCCUGAGCCACUUGGAGGAAGAGCAAGGUACACAUCAGGUAUGAGUAAACUCAGUUUAGCCCUGGGUUCCCCCUUUCUAAAAAUCAAACUAGUUUUAGUUGCUGUUGCAGCAUUCCCACAGAGCACUCCCACAGAGCUCCUUUGUCUUCUUUCCUAGAUUAGUCACAAGGGAGAUUCCAUCCAGUCUGGGAUCACACAAUGGAUCAAACCAUGCACACAAAGCUUUGAAGCCC